GACGAACGCUGGCGGCGUGCUUAACACAUGCAAGUCGAACGGAAAGGCCUCUUUCGGGGGGUACUCGAGUGGCGAACGGGUGAGUAACACGUGAGUAACCUGCCCUUGACUUUGGGAUAACUUCAGUAAACUGGGGCUAAUACCGGAUAGGAGCUCCUGCUGCAUGGUGGGGGUUGGAAAGUUUCGGCGGUUGGGGGUGGACUCGCGGCUUAUCCGCUUGUUGGUGGGGUAGUGGCUUACCAAGGCUUUGACGGGUAGCCGGCCUGAGAGGGUGACCGGCCACAUUGGGACUGAGAUACGGCCCAGACUCCUACGGGAGGCAGCAGUGGGGAAGAUUGCACAAUGGGUGGAAGCCUGAUGCAGCAACGCCGUGUGCGGGAUGACGGCCUUCGGGUUGUAAACCGCUUUCGCUCAUGACGAAGCUUUGUGUGACGGUAGUGGGUAAAGAAGCACCGGCUAACUACGUG
rnacentral:rRNA from 1 species